rnacentral:rRNA from 1 species
CCUACGGGUGGCAGCAGUGGGGAAUAUUGGACAAUGGGGGCAACCCUGAUCCAGCCAUGCCGCGUGUGUGAAGAAGGCCCUCGGGUUGUAAAGCACUUUCAGUGAGGAAGAACGCCUGGUGGUUAAUACCCAUCAGGAAAGACAUCACUCACAGAAGAAGCACCGGCUAACUCCGUGCCAGCAGCCGCGGUAAUACGGAGGGUGCGAGCGUUAAUCGGAAUUACUGGGCGUAAAGCGCGCGUAGGUGACUUGAUAAGCCGGUUGUGAAAGCCCCGGGCUCAACCUGGGAACGGCAUCCGGAACUGUCAAGCUAGAGUGCAGGAGAGGAAGGUAGAAUUCCCGGUGUAGCGGUGAAAUGCGUAGAGAUCGGGAGGAAUACCAGUGGCGAAGGCGGCCUUCUGGACUGACACUGACACUGAGGUGCGAAAGCGUGGGUAGCAAACAGGAUUAGAUACCCCAGUAGUC